rnacentral:miRNA from 1 species
GGAUCUUGUUAAAAAUCUGAUUCUGAUGCAGUAGGACUGGUAGGGCCUGAGAUUCUGCAUUUCUAACAAGCUUUCAGAUGCUGCUGCU